GAUGACGUGGCCGAGUGGUCCAAGGCGCUGGAUUAAGGCUCCAGUCUGUUCGCAGGCGUGGGUUCAAAUCCCACCGUCAUCA